AAGAAGAUUUUGAAGCGAUAUCCUGGCUUGUUCUGUACUCAGAAACAGAUUGCAGUGAAAGAGAGGAAGUUUAGUGUAACAAGACUGGAAUAUCUUAAAGAACAAGGAGUUGAUCCACAAACGCAUUGGCUAGGUGACGGUGAUUCGUGUUGCCCAACGGAGAUUAAGUCAUUCACUAAUUCGACGAUGGAAAAUGUGUAUGGAGAAACAAAGUAUAUUAUUCACACGCCUCCAAAAUACCAGUUCAUUCCACAUGGAUUUUGUAUUGAAGGCGGAACGUGUGAUGGUAAAUGCGCAACUGAACCAGUUACACACUCUUUGUUGACCUACAACCUUGCAAAGAAAAAACUGGAGUUUGAUCUGUUUGUUGUUCCAGGUUAUUGCUCGUGUAAAGCGACAUAAAUCAGUUCAGUAACCAAAAACGUGUUUUGUGUUGUAAAACAACCUGUCAUAGACUUACACUAUUACCCUUACAUAUUAUUCAGAAAAAAAACCAUACCGCCACAUUAUUCUAGUUUCAUACUAAAUUCAUUUUAGUCAAUGCGAGAAACUUUUUAACGGCAUUUAAAAAUGAAAGAAAGCUGCCCACAACAAUGUUUGAUGGACAAUAUAAUCAUUUAAAGAAAUAUUUUGUCUUUGUUUCAGUGAUUAUCUGAUGUCAAUGAGAUUUAUGGCAGUUGUAUAACACAAUAAAAUUUACUUGAACUUUAAUUUCUCUCAUUGUCAUUAAGAAGACCAGAAUGAAAAAAAAAAAAAACAAGAGGCAUGUUAGACUUGCAUGUCGCCCGCCGAAGUAAAUAAUAUAUGUGAAAGGUGACCAAGAAUAAUUCUUAUUUCAAAAAUCAUGAAAAUUAAAUGAAUUCGUUUUAA